rnacentral:miRNA from 1 species
CUGGCGCCCCAGGGCGG